UCGGUUUUGGUGAUUCCUUCUGCAGCAUAAAGUUCUGAGUUUUCAACAUCCUACUUAUUCCCAAAGGAGGAUUAGCAGAUUCAUAUUGAAUUGAAGGUAAAAAGUUUAUACAGCCUGACUCUCUCCUCUCUGACACUAAUACACUGGAACUCAGAAUUAACUACGUUGAAAUAGUUGGAAUUGCACUAAGACAGAACUGGUAUAAGAAGAAGCAGGCUCACAGAGUUCAAUCAAGCUAUGAGAAGGCUACACUCCAUGGCUAGAAUGUCUAUUUUUUUUCUCUCUGCCUGUGGUUCAGCUAGUUCAUUUUCUCUGAUUGCGUUGUAAAGUGAACUUUGCAUAUACUACAGUGUUGGUUUCCAGCUCAUGUUUAGCAAUAUUAUAAGAGAAGAUGAAAUUGAUAUAGAGCCAGGGUACCCUCCACUGUUCUUUGAAAACAAACCUGGCCCUAAUUUGAGCGGUAUAAACAGUUCCAUGUCCUCAGUAUGCUCUGCCACCACAGAGAGCCUGUGUCACACUUGGUGGUGUGACAUGGGCCCAAGUACAAAUAUGUGUACGCUCUUUUCAUGCUCGACAAGGAACCAGUGGUUCUGUCCUGGGGGGGAAGCAUCUUUAUAUAAAUAUCAUGUUUGUAUUAUGGUUUUCCAAUCAAAACAAAGUGACAAAUAAUUUUCUGAAUCUAGCUGAGGUUUGGAGUUUGUUUGUAAUGUGCAGUCACUGUAAUUAGCAUUUGAAAAAUGAUUCAGUCUAUAAUGCCCAAGGGUAAAAAAGGCUGAAGAGCAGCAGCAGGGACAGAAGGGUAACAUGAGUUAAGGGACCUGCCCACACACAUUCAAUGCUUUCUGCCUUGCCAUCUGGCUGCUCUGCUCUCUGAAGUCAUAUGGUCCUCUGCAUUAACUCUCCUUCCUGGACUCAGGACAACAUAUGAAAAAGCCAACCUUAUCAAAAUGUGACACAUUCAAACUAAAAUAUCUUUUGGGAUCACAGAGAAAUUUUCUAAAGCUAAACUGAAUCCUGUAUAUAACAUGGGCAUGCUACAAAACUUCCAGAGAGAGAGAAAAAUUCUUCUUUACCAGUGCAAUAUAUCUGCAAGAGAAAAAAAAAGCAUUCAGUUGGCUAAUCUGGGAUAAGCUUUUUCUUCAGCACCAAAGGGCAGUGAAGCCUUUCAACAGUAGGCAUUGUGUACUAAAAGUUUCAUAUUAACUGUAGGCUCCAGAAAUCCUAUAUGCUGUUUACUUUUUCCCCUAUUAUUGAGUUGCGAAGUUAACAUCACAGAUUUCAAAGUCUGUGCCUUCAGAUACAGUAUGUGAUUUUGCUUUUGAUCACUUUUUAAAUGAAAAGUAAGUAAGUGAUGUGCGUAUUCUCAAGCAGUGGAUAUUAAGGCCCUUUAGACUCCUUUAAGAAAAAGUAAAAUCACUUGAAAGUGAAAUAAUUGCAUUCAUCAAAGCUAAAGAUCAAAAUUCAAGAUGAUCUGCCUGCCGGGAUUCUUUGUUCACCAUUGCUGCAGUCCUUUUUCCAGCACCAUCUGUAAAACAAGUCAGAGCCUAAGAUUUCAAAAGUGAAGAAAGAAAUUGGGUCACCACCAAGAGAAGAAAAACAACCUAGGAGGAAAAGACCACCUAGUACUGAUGAGGGGCCAGACACCUGCCUUUAAUUGAGUGCCUAAAGAAAACAGCAUAAGCAUGCCCUUUAAUUUGUAAUGAGUACUGACUUGCCUUGACAUAAGCUGUGUACACAGCCACGUGUGUUGUUAGCUGAAUGUCAUAAUGUCAUUCUUAUUUGAUACCUUCAUGCCAGAGUGGGUUAACAUGUACAUGGAACUUAAGCAACACUAAAAUGAGAAAAAAGUGUUGGAGCUACACAACAAAAAAGUAUGGGCAAGGGCCUGAAUGAAUGCAUUGCACU